GGUGGGAACUCAUGGGAUACUGCCGGGGUCAACUCGGAGGAAGGUGGGGAUGACGUCAAAUCAUCAUGCCCCUUAUGUCUUGGGCUUCACGCAUGCUACAAUGGCCGGUACAAUGGGCAGCGAUACCGUGAGGUGGAGCGAAUCCCAAAAAGCCGGUCCCAGUUCGGAUUGAGGUCUGCAACUCGACCUCAUGAAGUCGGAGUCGCUAGUAAUCGCAGAUCAGC
rnacentral:rRNA from 2 species